UUUAUUGGCCAUAUUUCAUUGUCAAAGUCUGAUCUUAUCUGAUCUAAGAAGCUAAGCAAGGUCGGACCUAGUUAGUACUUAGACACGAGACCGCUAGGAAUACUAGGUGCCACAGGGG
ensembl:rRNA 5S_rRNA 5S ribosomal RNA